rnacentral:lncRNA from 1 species
UUUUUUUUUUUUUUCCUUGAGUUCUUUUUUAUUAUAGAGUUAUGACAGUUAUUUAAGUAGUCUGAGUCCUUUAGCAGAGAUAAAAUUGUGACUAUUUCCUCCCAAUCUAUGGCUUGCCUUUCAUUUUCUUAAUGGCAUCUAAUGAAAAGGGAAAGUUUUACAUUUUGAUAAGGUAUAAUAUAUUAAUUUUUCUUCUAUGAUUUAGUGCAGUACAUAACCUAAGAAAUCCUUGCCUAACCAAUGUUGGAAACAUACUCUGUUUUCCUCUGGAAGCUUUAUGGUUUCAGUUUUACACUUAGGUAUAUGAUCCAUCCUGAGUUACUUCUUCUACUCCUCCAUUUCAUCUGGUGUUGGAUCUCUACAGAAAAGUGCUCUACAAACAUUGCUGACUCAUUUCUAAAUGCCCCAAAGGUUAAGAGAAAUGUAUUUUGAAAGCCUAUGCUCAGCCUCAGGGGCACCUUGGAUAGAAACCUACUGACAGGAAUAAAGUCAUAAGCAUGGGCCAGUGGAGCACACCGGAAGCAUCCAUUUAGAACUGUUGGUAGGGUCCUGCCUUGUGAUAAGCUUUUGACUAGGACAGGGAUAAUCCAAACUUCUAUUUCUGUAAAAAUAGCAGUGUAACCCAGCACCAAAAAAGAGAGAGAGAUAGAGACUUCACUCACAACAUCUUUUUCUUUGACUAUACAUUAGAACAGUUACCAGGUAACCAUGUCAUCAGUGUAGAUUGAAUUCUCUUUAAUGACCUAGGCUCCAUAAAACCAGUCAGUGUGAUUCAAGUAGUUCUAUUGAAACCUAACUUUAAAGUGAGUAAUAAAUGUUAAAAAUGUUACUCUCAGGGGACAUGGCUUUCGAUAGCUUAAAACACUCACAUUAUUUUAUAGGAUUUAGAUGAUUUUCAAAAAUGUUUUAUGACUAUUUCAUCUGGAAAGCAUGUCAACUUAAACAAAUAAAGAGAAGUAUUCCUGCUAUUCAGAUAGUCUAUUACUCCAUGCAUCUUAAAACAGAGCAUUUCAGGCUACUUCUUUGAGAUUUUAAUAAGAAAACAUAGGACUGAUAAUAGUAAAAAAAAAAAACUUGUUCCUGUAUUUUUGGGUUUGGAGAAAUUAACAGAUUAACAAGGAGCAGAGAGCAUCUCAUAAGUACUUAGUAAUUCAGUUGAUAAAACAAUCUACAUACUAAGAAAUGAAGAGACCAUUUUGAAGAGCUGUAUUAUGACAGCUACUUCCUUAAUAGUUUUAAACCAACACAUACUCACUGUUUGGUAAGGUUCAUUUCUUAUUACUCUGCCCCAGCUUAAGUUUCCACACUACAAUUGAGGUAUCAUAGGAAAACUGUUUACUUCUAAACAAUAACCCAGGCACCUGAGUGUUAAUGAUUACCUGGCCUCACAAGCUAACAGCUCUCGGAAAUAAUCAACAGUAGUUGCUUAGAAUUUAGGUUGACAUAGAAGAAAAGUACUGUAUAAGCCUGGCAUUGUUUCUUUUUAAAAAGAAAAGAAGGUUUGUAUUUAGCUACUUGAAUUUGGUUAAGUUAUACAUUUAAAUCCCUUUUCUCAUCAAGUAUUUCAAUUAUCAUCACUUCCUUAAUAGCACUCCAUUGUUUUUAUGCCUUCCUAAACGUAUAAUCCUUUCUACAAUUGAAGGUCAAAAGAAUAAAAGUAGCAAAAAAAACUCCCAGUAAGAAAUACUGUCUUAAGCCACAUAUUCCAUGAAGUGUUUAAUGGUUCCAAUAAUAGUCAAAAUAAACUUUCCAUUUAAAGAAUGUAAGAAACUGCAACAAGCAAGAAAUAUACUCUAGAAUGAGCUGCCCAGACAAAAUUUAAUUAGAAACGUUCUCUUAUGCUUUACAGCAUUGAUACAAUUCACUUUACAGCAUUGAUACAAUUCAUACAGUGUCAGCUGUGAAGUAAAGCUUAGUUUUCCCUAAAAUCUUUUUAAAUCACAUUGAAAGCACCCUAGGAGAGACCAGAUUGCACUUCCUGACUAAGAGAGGUCACUCUUUCUUCACGCACGUCAUGUUUACGGCACUUUUUUGUUCUGACUCUUGACUUCCCCUCAUCAGAGAGCCAAGUGCCCCUGUGUACACACUUGAGCUCUUCUCUGUGUCCAGUCACCAAGUCCCAAAACUUUUCUCUUGUAGCUGGAGUUACUUUUCACUGAUUUGCCCAUGUUGCUUACUCAUUCAUGCCUUCAUUUACCAAAAUCUCCAAAGUGCUAGAAUAUAAAAGAAUAUUCAGGGAAAAUGACAUGCAGCACCCCUCCCCCAUCUCCUAUGACUAAGUCAAAAAUGCACCCCUUCCCCCAAAAAGGAUUAUACUAUCAUACAACAGGUGCUUUUGAGCAAAUAUUAACUGUAUUAACGUCUAGAGUCUAGGCAACCUAUGUUUAAUGUUAAUUCAUUCAACAAUAAACUGCUUUCCAUUUGGGUGGGUCCUAUGAAUAUGAGCCCCAAAGUUUCUGAAGUUUGUAAUUUCCAGACACACCCAAUGAUAAGGUUUAAACACUUCACAAAUCUGUUUACAUUUUGACUUUGAUGAGCUCAUGUUUGCAUUUCAAUGGAGGAUUGUUAAACACCUUGGAAGUUGAGGACAUGAAGGGAAAUUUAAUCAUUGAACAGAAAUCAGAUGAGCCUCCUCAAACUCAGGGCCAGGAGCAGCUAUUAGCAUAAAGUUUCCCUAGCAAUGCUGUACCACCAACAGAAGCUCAGGAGAAAGGAGGAACUGAAAGGAGACAAAGUAAGGUGACACCAAAGCCAAGGGCACCUGUACCUGGGCCAGUGGCUCACAAACUCCUGUAAUUAAGUUCAAGGCACAAACAUCAAUCAAAUGUCUCCUUGGAUCUAGAACAGACUGCCCUUGGUCAGCCACCUUCACUUCUCAGGGACACAAGACCCUAUUCCAAGCCCUCCCAUUACUCCCGCAAAAUGGAAGAGACCCUUCUAAAUCAGAAGUGUUCCAACACUGUUGUAUUCAUGAAUAAAACUUUUAUUCAAACAAAACCUUGCAGGGAACACUAAUACAGCAGACAGAUGAAAAUAAAUGCUCUGGAGGCUGAAGCAAAACUUCAUCAGCCUCCCUGGAAGGCUCUCUGGAUACCCUGCCCAGAAGCCAGCCAAGACAGUUUGAAACCAUGGGCUCAGAUACCUCCUCAUAGAGGGGAAUGUUCUUUGGUGAGCCAGCCAUAUAUUUCCUAGUCCCCUAAAUAGAAGGAACUCUGAAAAUACUGACAUAAGAUAUAAAUGUGGACUUCCCAUUGUGGCUCAGUGGUAAGGAACCCAACUAGUAUCCCUGAGGACGUGGUUCUGAUCCCUGGCCCUGCUCUGUGGGUUAAAGGAUCCGGUGUUGCCAUGAGCUGUGGUGUAGGUCGCAGACGUAACUCGGAUCCCGAGUUGCUGUGGCUGUGGUGCAGGCCAGCAGCUGUACCUCCAAUUCAACCCCUAGCCUGGGAACUUCCAUAUGCCACAGGUGCAGCCCUAAAAAGCAAAAAAAAAAAAAAAAAAAAUUUAAAGAUAUAAAUGCAAGAGUAAAAUCAAAAUACAGAAGACAGUGAUCAAAGAUGAGAAAGUGAUAAAUGGCACUUCUGGCUUUUGAAAAUUUCUCAGCAUGUAUAUGUUCUGAAAAAUAAACGGAAAGAACUGACAGCUCUUCUGAAGUCUUUAAAAUGCCAGAUCUACUCUUAGUUUCUUUCAUCAAUAUUCAGACUACAGUCUCAAAAUACAGCAUCAAACAUUAUAUUCUAUAAGUCUUUCCCCCUCCCUGUUUCCUUCACUAGCUCAACAAGUACUUACUGAGUACUUCCAUUGUGCCAGGCACUAUUUAAGUGCUGACAACAACAGUGAAUGAGACAAAGUUGCCUGACUUCAGCAGCUUAUAAUCCUCAGGAAGGAACCACCAAGCUGAAUGGGAGCAGGACAUAGUGGGUGUGUCCUGGGGGUGAGAUGACCAGGGGCAGUCACAACGAAGAUGAGUUAUGAGCACAGGAGACGUGAAUGACACGAGAAGACCAAGGGAGGAAGAGCAUAUGCACAGUUGCCAAGAUGGGUGGGACUGAUGGGGGGAGGAAGGGGAGGAGGAGGAGCAGCUGCAAGAAGAUCAAUACAGCUGGGACAGGAGUGAGGCAGAGAGCACAGGAAGUGCAGUGAGGGAACUGGGCAGAGGCCAGCCAGUCACAGAGGGCCUUGCAGGCCAUGAUCAGAAUCUGGAUCAAAAUCUCCCCCAGGAUGGGUUUGAGCAAAGGCGAACCCCAAUGCCAUCUGUGCCCUUAGAGAUAGAUUCAUCUUACAGCUGGCUGCAGAAGAGACUGAGGGGCUUUGGGGAGAGGGGAGUGAGGGCACCAAGGCCAGAUAGGAGGAUCCACCUUCCCAGCAUUGAUUAGGAUUGAGAGAAGGUUUUAUAUGCACAGAUUAAGCUGCAAUUUGAGGAGGAAUGAUUUCAGAGAAAAGGCAUUCCAUGGAAUAUAAGCCAGAACACUCUCCAUGCUGGGUUAUGUGCACUUUACACAAUUACAUAUCCAGCUAAUGAGUUUAGAUUUGAAUUUCUGAGAGACAGGCCAUAAGAAGUUUGCAGUAAAGGCUCUUAGGCAGUUUGCUCUCUCUUAUCCAACACAGCUCACUCCUACUCCCCUCGGUUCUUCAAAUUAUAGGACAAGAUGUCCAAUAAUUAUUUCAUUGUUUGCUAGAUGAACACAAACUUUUCCUGAGACCCCAUCAAACAAGUGUUUACAAAUUAACAGAAACAAUUACAGCAUUGGUACUUAAGACCAACCUCAAAACAUAACCUUCAAAGUUUUGAGGAGUAUAUCAGAGAGCAAUGAAAUAAGUGUGUGCGAUGUAGAGCCUUAAGAACGUGGGGAAUUCCCGCUGUGGUGCAGCAGAAACAAACCCAACUAGUAUGCAAGAGGAUGCAGGUUCAAUCAUUGGUCUCGUUCAGUGGGUUGGGGAUCAGCGUUGCCAUGAGCUAUGGCAUAGGUCACAGAAACAUCUCACAUCCAUUAUUGCUACGGCUGCAGCAUAGGCUGGCAGCUGUAGCUCGGACUAAUGCCCUAGCCUGGGAACUCCCAUUUGCUGAGGAUGUGCCCCACUCCCUCCAGGAAAAGGAACUUCCACAUGCCAC